UCUGUCCCGCCAACACGAUGUCUCUAAUGAGGAGAGGGACUCAUUUUACAUUUACAUUUUUUUUGACACUUUAGUCAUUUAGCAGACGCCCUUAUCCAGAGCGACUUACAGUAGUGAAUGCAUACAUUUCAUACAUUUUUUUCUCCGUACUGGUCCCCCAUGGGAAUCGAACCCACAACCCUGGCAUUGCAAACACCAUGCUCUACCAACUGAGCCACUCGGGACCAAGCCCAUCAUCCCCAGCUCCUUCAUUGUGGCCCCUGUGAUAUGGAGUAUUGAGACCACGGGUACGACAAGCCCAGACCUGAGAACCUGACCCCGGCGAGGGUCCCACUAAAAUACUUUAUGCUACAAUGCUACAAUGGGGACACUCCUCUAAAUUAACUGCGCAUCCAGGGGUAAAUUGGACACUGGAGUUCCUGAGGCAAAAUUCUGGUGGCCCAACAUGAUUGAGGAUGUGAGAUCCUUUGUUGCGGCCUGUUCCACCGGUGCCCAAAGCAAGUCCUCAUGACAGCGACCGGCUGGGUGGCUCCAACCUCUACCCAUCCCUAGCCGGCCCUGGUUCCACCUGUCUGUAGACUUUAUCUCGAUCCCAAGGGCUUACCACUACCCUGGUGGUCGUAGAUCGGUUCUCCAAGGCUGCCCAUUCAUUGCCUUACCCAAGUUACCCUCAGUGAAGGAGAACGCUGAUCUCAUGAUUACCCAUGUCUUUCGACUACACGGACUUCCCCAGGACAGUUCGUUGCACGGUAUUGGAAGGCCUUCUGCUCCCUGUAGAGGUGUCGGUGAAUCUUUCCUCAGGGUUCCACCCACAGUCUAAUGAGCAAACUGAGCGGGCUAACCAGGAGCUGAUUCAUCUCCACUCAGGCCAGCAACUGGAGCAAGUUCCUCGUCUGGGCGGAAUAUGCUCAUAACACACUGCCAAACUCGUUGCCGUUCGAUUGUCAAUCCCCCCCCCAUUUCCUGAACAAGAGGCCGAAGCUGGGUUGUCAUCAGCCGAGGCGUUCAUUCCACAAUGUUGACCCACCUGGAUUCCGAGCACGAUCCUCCUUGCUCCGCUCCUCUGCCAGACACCAACACCAGGCAAACCGGCAUCAAGGGCCUCUUCGUCUCCUCCGACCGGGUCAACGGGUGAGGCUCUCCACCUGUGAUCUUCCCUUAAAGGUGGACUUGCGGAAGCUUGCUCCACGUUACAUAGGACCAUUCAAGAUCCUGAAUCGCAUCACCCGGUCCCCUAUCGUUUCCAGAUUCCCAGGCCUAUGAGGGUCUGUCCAUUCUUCAAAGUCUAAAGAUGGUAAGGACCAGUUCCUUCUCUCCCCCAGACAUGCCCCUCUGCCCCCUCAAAAAUGAUUGCACAAGCAAGACCUGAAAACUCCUUGAAUGUCAUUGAAAUGGUGUGUGAAGACUUCCAGCAGAUUCUGUCCUCAAGCGACCAGCUGCACUACACAUCACCUCACUUACAUGACUCAAACUCUCAGCUGAUGAUCAUUGGAACAUACACACUAGUCAGAGCCCCAGCCAGUAUGAGGGAUGGAAGUCCUGAUCUGUCUGUAGGCUGAAGAGUGAAUAUAGAACUCAAGAUACCUCAUUCGCAAGCCACUAACCCAGGGCCUACGAGUCUCCUCUUCCAGUAAAGAAAGAAAACUACAGAGAUCUGAUGACAUCUGUUACCCCCAAUAUCUAUUUUGCCAUAUCCACAAUAACUAUCAACCUGGCAUUUAUGCUUUCCACAACCUGAGUCAAAUUGAUAACCUUACCAAUAAAAG
rnacentral:lncRNA from 1 species